rnacentral:tRNA from 1 species
GGGGAUUAGUUUAAUUAAAACAAAUGAUUUCGACUCAUUAGAUUAUGAUAUACAUUAUAAUUACCA